AAAAUAAUCAACAGUACUGUAACGUGACGGUACCCAAAUUGCACCUAUUUUGACAGUUUUUUCAUCUACGUUUUUUUAUGAUGAAGACAAAAAUGUCCAUUCUGUGUUUAUUUUGUAGCCCUAUCCUUCUUUAUUAUAAAGGUACACCAAUUUGAUUUUUAUUCCAUAUGGAAUCAUAGAAAAAUUGGUCUAAACUGACCUCCAAACCAUCAAUGAUUCUGAAAUUAGGAGUACCCAAAUUGCUUCCAUGCUUAAAUUCACAUAGUCAAAAGUCUAAUAACAGAGCUUUUGUUUAAU
rnacentral:lncRNA from 1 species